GUUUGAGAACUUGUCAGGGCUCUUUCUGGAAUGCGUGUUACACAGCCUGGUUUCCACUCCUGCAAGAUGGAAGAGAAACCAAAUGGACUGCUAAACAUGGAUAACAGUCAUCCCAUAACAUGGAAGUCCCCUUUGUCCCAGACAUCUGUUUAAAUGAGAAGCAAUGGAAACCUGACUUAAGGACCCUGGGGAUAUGCUGUCCAGCAGAGUCCGGUCUUAUGAGAAGGAAUCAAGAACAUAUUACAUGAGAAAACCAGGUUCUAC